rnacentral:rRNA from 1 species
CGUGGACACCCAGAAAAAAUAAACGGCGCAAGUGGAUAGCCCAGAAAAGCCCAUCGAGCCAGCGGCAGUCCACAACCCCCCCUUCGCGUCCUUCCCCAGUCACGUCAUGCCCUAGGCUAGGGCGCCGUCGCCGCCAUCUCCACCGCACCAGUGGUGCGGCACCACCUCCCGCUUCCAAUCCCAUGGAGCCACCGUCGCCGUCGUGUUUCUCGAAGAGGCCGUCGUCCAAGGACAUCGCCGGCGACCGAGCCAAGCCUUGCGAGGAUGACUCCUCUGCUCUCUCCCCUAUCCUGCCGACGCCCUCUUCGGCUCCUGCUCCUCCGCCGCCGUCAAAGGGGAUAGCCGGGGACCAAGCCGAGCCCUGCGUGGCUGCUCCCUCCCCGAUCCCGGUGAUGGCCUCUUCGGCCCCUGCUCCCCCGCCUCCUCCUAUUCUACCCCAGAUUUGAUGGAAGUUACCAUGGGUGAUGUCGACGACCAAAUGGUGUUGACGAUCGACAAGCAAGCUGAAAAGUGGGAAGCCAUGGAGCAGGAACAACAUGUGUGGAAUGCUAUCGAUGAGGAACGGAAAUUAGAAAGGCAGAAGGAAAAACGAAGGCAUAAGGAGAGAAAGAAAAGCCUGGAAGAGAAGAGGAAAGAGAAGAGAGAAGAGAAGAGGAAGAAGCAAGAGAAGAAGAGGAAAAACCAGGAGGAGGAGGAGGAGUUGCAGGGGAAGAGGAAACAUGCUCGUUCAAUGAACUGUUCUGAAUUUGUUCAAGGAGCUACAACAGAGGGGCUACAGAGACAAGAUUCUCCACCUAUGACACAUAGUCAAAGAGCGACAAGAUCAUCAUUGGUAAGGUCACCGGUGGCGAGCACGUGGAGAUCUUCCCUUGGUCUUCUAGCAAGAGUUGCAGCCUCAAAAAGGGGCAGGUCUCCCUCAACGAGGAUUGCAAGUUCCCCAUUGGAGGAGAGGGCAAAUUCGUCCACGAGAUCACCAUCUAUCUUAGGAUCCCCUUCUCCAGUGACUACUCCAUUUGGAGGCUCAAAAAUUAAUCAUCCACAUGUCCGCAAGACAAGAAGGCUAACUUCUGCUGUUUGGAGGGAUUUCAAACCAAUUUAUCGUCAUAAGAUACUUGUCAAAGCUCAGUGCAAGCACUGUCAUGAAGUGUUUCAAGCUGGACGAGAUGUUGGCACAAGUGGUGUAAGAAGACACUUGGCUGCUUGCGAAAAAAGGUCAGAUUUACACCUCUACGUUGAGAAGAUGAAGUCCUCGGUUUCAUCUCCUGAUGCCUCUAUGCUUAAGCAAUAGAACUUUGAUCAAGAAACAUCUAGAGAUUUGCUUGCCAGAAUGAUAGUAAUGCAUGAGUUGCCUUUCUCAAUAGUUGAGUACAGUGGUUUUAGAGACUUCGUGAAAAGUUUGAAUCCCUUGUUCAAAAAUGUUUCUAGAAAUACUAUUAAAGAUGAGUGCAUGAAACACUAUAAUUUGGAGAGGUCGGCGUUCUCUGGACAUUUGAAGAAAUACAAUGGUAGAGUUUCUUUAACAGCGGACAUGUGGACAUCUAAUCAGACUUUGUCCUAUCUAUGCAUCACUUGCCAUUUGAUCAACAACAAGUGGAUUUUGCAAAAGAGGAUCUUUAGAUUUUUUAUGGUGGAGACUCCACAUAACAGAGUAACAAUGUUUAAUGUCUUAUUAAAGAGUUUGCAGGAGUGUAAUAUUGAGGACAAACUCUUUAGUAUGACAUUGGAUAAUGCAUCAGUUAAUGGUACAAUGGUCAAUAAUCUUAGAAAAAAUCUGAACAGCAAGCAUAUGUUGCCUAUUAAAGGUCAAUUACUUCAUAUCCGUUGUGCAUGCCAUGUGAUAAAUUUGAUUGUCCAAGAUGGGUUGACAACGAUGAAAGGUGUGAUAGAUGAUAUCAGAGAGAGUGUGAAGUACAUUAAGAGUUCUCCCUCUCGGUUGGACAAGUUCAAAGAAGUAGUUGCGCAAGUUGGUAUCUCUUGCAAACUCCCCUCGGCUGAUGUGCCAACACGUUGGAACUCCACCUAUAUUAUGUUGGAGUCAGCGCUCCCCUUUCGAAGAGCCUUUCGUGCUUUGGUGCAAAAGGACCCAGAUUAUGUGUUUUGCCCAUCCUCAGGAGAGUGGAAAAAUGCUGAUACAGUUUGUGCUAUGUUAAAAGUUUUUCACACAGCCACAAAUGUACUUUCUGGUUCAAGUUAUUCUACCUCAAAUUUGUACUUUCAUCAAAUCUGGAAUGUGAGGUUACUGCUGCAGAAGGAAGCUUCAACAAAGGAUGAAGUCGUUCAAGCAAUGGUUGGAGAGAUGCAAAAAAAGUUUGAUAAGUAUUGGAUGGAAUCAUAUUUGCCAAACUGUAUUCCUGUGAUCCUUGAUCCGCGAUUUAAACUUUGCUUCAUCGAGUUUCGACUAAAACAAGCUUUUGGUCCAGAUGUAGAAAGACACUUGCUUGCAGUGAAAGAAGUUCUUGACAACCUUUUCGAAGAAUAUUCUUCACAAAUGACGGAUGCAUUGGAUGAGUCAGCACCCCGAAAAUUUUUUGAUGAGGUUGUGAAUGAAGAGAAUGAUCCGUUGGCGGAUUGGGACCAACACUUGAAUAAGAAGCAACGCCAAACUGCUAGUGAGCUUGCCAGAUACUUAGAAGAAGACACAUUCACUCGCACGGAGGAUUUCAACAUUCUUCAAUGGUGGCAUCUUCACUCGUCUAAGUAUCCCAUCCUUUCUUGUAUAGCUCGUGAUGUUCUUGCUGUACAAGCUUCCGUCGAUCGUCAGAGUCAGCUUUCAGUACUGGAAAGCGUUUGAUCAGCGAUUACAGAAGUAGAUUGUGCAGCGAGACAGUGGAAGCCUUAAUCUGCCUUCAAGAUUGGUUUAGAUGUAAUGAUAAGCAUGCCAAUGCUCCUGAUCAAGGUCACUACUAUUAACUGAGGUUGAGAUGUUUCUGGAGAAAAAAUCAGUUGAGCUGACCGAAGAUGAGGCCAGUCUUGGGACCAUUCUGAUUCCGAUUAAUCAAGUGAAAGACCAGUGAGCAUAGCUUGGUGUACAAAGGUCGUCCGACAUAAAGCUGACAGAAGAAUGGAAGAUGCUCUUAGCUGAUAGUUUUAUCAUUUGGUGCCGUUUUGAGUCUAGGACUCUAGGUGCUUUCUGUUAAUUUUGGGAUAUGGAGGAUGGGGAGUGUGUUGCAUAUUCCUUUUUGUUCACAUACAUAAGAUAUUUCUGCUGCUUUGAUAGGCGUUUUUAGUUAAGUUGCCGCUGCAUGUUCCAUUAACAGCGAUAUCACAUACAUGAGAUAUUUCUGUGGAUUUUGUUAUUCUAGAGGCGACUACUGAAUGAAGCUCGAACUCACUAGUGAUAAUUAGUAGCGAUCGUUAUGUCAGUGUAGGCUAAUAUUCCACUGUUCCAGUGAUCUUUUGUAUGUCAGCUUAUCCAGUCUAAGCUUUGUAAAUAUAUGCGGCAGUAUGUGGA